GUGCCAGCAGCCGCCGCGGUAAUACGGAGGGUGCAAGCGUUAUCCGGAUUCAUUGGGUUUAAAGGGUGCGCAGGCGGAUAAUUAAGUCAGUGGUGAAAUCCCGGGGCUCAACCUCGGAACUGCCAUUGAUACUGAUAAUCUGGAAUACGGUUGAAGUGGGCGGAAUGUAGCAUGUAGCGGUGAAAUGCAUAGAGAUGCUACAGAACACCGAUCGCGAAGGCAGCUCACUAAGCCGAUAUUGACGCUCAGGCACGAAAGCGUGGGGAGCGAACAGGAUUAGAUACCCUGGUAGUCCACGCCGUAAACGAUGAUAACUCGUUGUUGGCGAUAUACAGUCAGCGACUAAGCGAAAGCGAUAAGUUAUCCACCUGGGGAGUACGAUCGCAAGGUUGAAACUUAAGGAAUUGACGG
rnacentral:rRNA from 1 species